GGCUAGUCUUAAGGCUUCUCUUGACUCAUUCUCCUCGGUGAACUGAGUUUAUCUCCAUCCCAGAAAAAUGUCUUUCAAUGGACCACAGACUGGUGCCCAGGGCUCCCUACCAUGUGGGGUAAAAUGCUCAGAACCAUGUAUUGUCACAGCCAAUGAGCCAUGUGUGGUGAAGUGUAAAGACUCACAAGUGAUAAUCUACCCACCACCCGUUGUCGUGACGUUCCCUGGACCAAUCCUCACCACUUGCCCUCAAGAGAGCAUAGUGGCAUCCUCAGGACCACCUGACAUUGGUGUGGCUGAGUCAGCUGUGAGGAUAUCUGCAGCACCAGGAGUCACUGGAAGCUUGGGGCCACAUCUCGAUAGAUGCCCUCCAAGCGUCAAUACAAUACAUGAGCCUCAGUACACUCCAAAAUACUCCUACACUUAUUCUUCCCGAUGGUCAUAUCCUCACAAGUCCCUGGAAACUGCUGGUUAUAGUCAAAUCACAAGGAACAUCCACAGAACAAAAUAAAAAACAGGAAAUAAAAGGCCAGGUAGAGUUUUGCAGCUGAGCUUAUGGACAUGGCUUACAGAAGUGCUGAGCACCCACAACUCCAACUGAAAUCAGCAGUGGGAGUGAGAGCACAGCACCUCUGAAAAUCAGAUCCGUAAAUGUCUUUGUCAUGUUACCCUUCACCUUAGAUUUCCUAUCUAAUGGCUUCCCAGCUUAGCUCUCUGCUUAUAAUGUGCAUUGUCAGCUCAAAUGGUUGAAAAUGGGAACUUGACUGUCAAACUCUGCAGCUACAACAAAGAUAGAAAUACGUGCAAAAUGCAUCACCUUGGAGUGGGUGAUUGGUUGCAGCCGUUAUUGAACACUGUAUAAUCUUUAUACUUUGUAUUGUUUUGUUCUGCAAUUUUAUACCCUCCUUCUUAUUUUCAUUAAAAAUUGUACUGCAUCAUGA